AUUAUUCUAUGGCUUUUAUUUUGGUUUAAUAUAAUAACAGUAAAUUCUUUUGAUUGUUAAUAUAUUAAUCAUAAAAUAACUAUUUCAGAUCUUGCAAAUUUAAUACCGAAUCUUUUUGAUGAAUUCUCUCAUCUUUUCGGCAUGUCCAGCGAUAUUUUCAACUCUUUAACUGAUUUUGCAA